AUACCAUGGGAUAUUGGUAUUGGGUACUUAGAAGAAUGCCAAAUUGGAAAGAAUUAUGGGCUUUCUCAGAGUUUCUUCUCUUUCUAGGCAUGUAGAAGAGCCUAUUUACAUCAUUAACUUGCCAACUUUGUGUAUAUACAUGUGCAGACACGCAUGCAUAAUAUACCAUAAGGCAGCAUAGCUGAUAGUGGACCUUAAGGGUUCUUCUGCUCACUGGGUCAGAAGCAUCCGAUUUCCUGUCAUCGGUUGCGGUUCAGCCAUGUUAAUACUAAAAGUAUAAGAAUAUCAUAAUCCCAGAGUGAUAUAAAGACCUUUCCAAGGAAGAUGAGAUACCCGGAGGCUGUGAAGGAGAAGUCUGAAGGAUUUGACCGCGUUCAAAUGAAAACCUUUGGUUCAGCAAAACACCAGAAACAAAUUCAAAAGAUAAAAUACACUCCGGAGAAGCCCAUUCUCUCAACGCAUCUGACAGUUCACAAAGAGCAACUGCAGUCCAACUUAAAAAAUAAAGAAAAUGGUAGGAAAAUGGGCAACAUGCAUUGAGGCAAUAUAUAAGAAGAAGGAAUGCGCAAUUAACCAACAAAAGCCUGCUCUUUCCUAACGAGUGAAGAUAAAAGCUUAGUAAAUAUUAAAAUUUAUUGAAGAUAAAAAUGGACACUUCCGGCCAUAUAUAAAAGCAUUGUUGGUAAGAGAGUGGGGUAAUUGACAUGCUCCUGGGAAAUAAUACGCAUUCAGACAACCUCUAAUGAGUGAAUCCACUGGGGGUAUCCACUAGGAAUAGAAAACGACCACCAAUGCCCAAGUUUGUGGUCCAGAAUUUGAGCAGCGAUCUAACAAAGUAGAGUCUCCCCCUGUGUCAUGGGCCCCACUUCUUAAGCAAAGAAGAAUGCCUCAUUUUGGUAACUCACCCAAAUAACAGAACUUUUUUUUGAUAAUCUUAUCGCAUUUAUUUGGUUAAGUCUGAGGCAGAAUAUUUUUCUCCUUUGUAUCUUUGUUUUGUUUUGUUUUAAUCCUUGAAGUUUAUUACCAAACUACAUCUUGGUGUUUCUUCAGGAUGUGAACAGGCCUUUCUAUUCUCAAUUAAGUGUUUCUUUCCUUUAAUUCAGGAAUCUUCUAAUCGUAUAUUUUAAUUUCUUUUUCUGUCAUCCCUCCCCACGCCAUAAGCUACCAGUCACUAUACAUGUUGGAGCUCUCUUUAUUGUGCCAUAGAUCUCUGAUGUCAUGUCUUUAGUCAUUAUUUUGUGUCAGAAAUUUUUGUUCUUCCGGGGACAUCUGGCAAUAUCUAGAGACAUGCUACUGGCACCUAUAGAAAUGCUAGUGACUUAUUAUGGGUAGAGGCUAAAGAUGCUGCUAAAUAUCCUACAAUGCCCAGGACAGCCACUGCCACAACAAAGAAUUAUGCAGUCCACAAUGUCCAUAGUGCUAAGGAGGAGAAACCCUGUCCUAGGGUCAAGGUUGGAUGCUGACAAGACUGAUUUCAAGUGAUUUCAAACGAUUGUGGGGAAAAUACCCAGAAGUUGACAGGAGCAAUAUGUAGAUAUUUCCUUCUGGAAAUUAUAUUUCCCUAAUGCUAAUGCUGGAGCAUUUGGAAACAUGUGUAUAAAUAUUUGAAGCACAAAGCCAGAGAGAUGCUCUUAUGUAUUUAGCUUCUAGUUUUAAAUAAUAGAUACUACAAUAAACCUUGAUUAAACCUUG
rnacentral:lncRNA from 1 species